UACGUAUAGUGCGAGCGUUGUCCGGAUUUACUGGGCGUGAAGGGGGCGCAGGCGGCGCGCCAAGCCCGAUGUGAAAGCCCGGGGCUCAACCCCGGGACUGCAUUGGGAACUGGCGUGCUGGAGUGCCGGAGGGGCAGGCGGAAUUCCUGGUGUAGCGGUGAAAUGCGUAGAUAUCAGGAGGAACACCGGUGGCGAAGGCGGCCUGCUGGACGGAUACUGACGCUGAGGCCCGAAAGCGUGGGGAGCGAACAGG
rnacentral:rRNA from 1 species